UACGGGGGGGGCAAGCGUUGUUCGGAAUUACUGGGCGUAAAGGGCUCGUAGGCGGCCAACUAAGUCGGACGUGAAAUCCCUCGGCUUAACCGGGGAACUGCGUCCGAUACUGGAUGGCUUGAGUUUGGGAGAGGGAUGCGGAAUUCCAGGUGUAGCGGUGAAAUGCGUAGAUAUCUGGAGGAACACCGGUGGCGAAGGCGGCAUCCUGGACCGGCAUUGACGCUGAGGCGCGAAAGCCAGGGGAGCAAACGGG
rnacentral:rRNA from 1 species